GUCUGGAGCUAAUGAGAAGCAACUGGAAAGCAAUAUGAUUUCUCAAGAAAUGGCGACUUACAUCACCAUCUUUCUCCAGCUGACUGCACCACUGAACUCCUGGUCAUCUUUGGCACAGCAGGAAGAGUCAAAGUCAGAUUCUCAGCUGACAUGAAAUGGGAUCAGGUUGUGCUGAUUGUAAAAGAGUUACGAGGAGUGAUACCAACUGAAUGUCCAGCUUGAGCUGAGUAUAGAAUGGUGACAAUCAACUGUGACAGCUCUGCAGCUUGUACUACUGGCGAGAGCAAUAGGAGAACUAAAGUAGAUGCAGGCAAGACGUUGCUCAGAGCCAUCAGCAAGAUGCAAGUGAGCUGACAGUCAGACUCUUGUACAAGAUUUUCAUGCCUUACAAGGUCUGCUAGGUUAUUUUAUGGAGUUCUGCACUUCAGGUAUUCCAGCCAGGUCUGUGUCCCCAGCUGAGAACUCCAGUGGUUUGCGUAGAAAGUGUUGCUCUGAAGAACUGUUGGUUUAGCAAUUGGGGUGAGAGGACCGUUGUCCCUUAAACACCUGGCAUUUGGAGGCUUCUAAAGUAUACCAUGAAAAGCAAACAAAAUCUGAAGCGGGACAAACCUUCUUAAGAAGCAUUUUGUAUAAGUUGCCUUGUUGCCAAUCGUGAAUCUUCAGAACUGUCUGCCAAAUGCCUGACACUGAAGUGAUUUAAGACCUGCAUUAGAUCAGCUUCAACUGAGUGUAGCAUGCUGCCCUGGGAGGGUGACUGCUCAAUGAGCAUUCCCCUGGCUCUGAGAAGUGAGAAAAAUAAGUUCUGUUAAAAGAAAGAAUUAAUAGUAAUUUGAAUUGAGAAGCCUAAAUCCUGCCCAGACAUACACUCAGAACAAGUUCAGAGCUCAGAAUGCCGCAGUAAUGCAUAUCAAACUUUCUUUCACAUAAACUCCUCGAAACAUCAGGAUGAAAUGGUUAUCAGGAUUCUGAAGGACUAAGGUCUUCAUGUGUAGUGCUAACAGUUAAAAAGAAGGAAAAGCAACCAAAUUGCCCCUAGUCUGCUCAAGAGCCCGUCACUGCUUCCUAAGUGGUCACGCUACAAAAUCAAAGAAGUAACAAGGUAUGGUUGGUUACCCUUCCAAAAAUAACUGCAAGUAUUAAGUGCUGUCUUUAUGGAGAAGCCAGACCUCCUGCAGUAAGAGGGAAAAUUGAAUUGACUUGCAAGAGGCCAGAAUGCCACCCACAGAGGUGCUUGAUUGCCAGAAAAUGCUGAGUUCCUGCUGCUUGGAAUCACUGCUGUCCGAUAUCCGGCAUUGUACUGAAAGGCCGCCCAGGGAGGUGGUGGAGUCACCAUUCCUCGAAGUGUUAAGAACCAUGGAGAUGUAGCACUGAGGGACAUGGUCAGUGGGAGCGGUGGAGGUAAAUUUAAGGGCAUGCAUCUCUGGCUGGACUUUUCUGGAAGGACUUUUCUGCAGCCUUUUGCAUUCUCUAUGUUCAGAGGAUAGAAGCUGUAACCAUUCAGUUCUGCAAUCAGGCUUGGCUCCAGUUUCAGAGAGGAGACAGACAGCUGGUGGAGUUGCAGAUUUCACAAGCAGGAGGAAUCAAAAUGUGGGAGACCAGGAGGUCAGGACAGCAUGCUUGAUUGCCUACAUGAAGAGUAACAAGCUUCUCCUCUGGUCCCAUGUGAGCCACCUGGAAACCAUUGAGGAGCACAAGAGCCCCAGUAUCAUCUCAGUGGAUGUUUCAGAGAAACUGUUUGAAUGUCUGUGCUAGAAAGGUACAUGAAUUUAUCCUGCAAUGAAUACAGAAGCAUAGGAGAUGGAGGACAGGACCUUGACCUGAACAGAUCUGACUCGUACGUGUCAAAGACUGCAUCGCUGAAAGCAUAAUACUGCUCCUGCACUAAGAGUGUGUCUCUUCCAAGGCUUUCAAAACCAUGGCACCAGGUGUGAUUUAAGACCACUUCCAUUAAGAAGCAUGGAACUGGAUUUUUCUUCUUGUAUUUAGUGCUACUGAACUCCUUGCCAUCAGGUAUUAAGAGAGUGUCUAAGAUAUGAAAUGCUACAAACCUGACAGAUGUCUGUGUGAGCCAUAGAGAUAUUUCACACAGGAGAGUGAAGGCGAAGAUGAAUUUGGGACUAAUGGAUCUGAAUAGCUGGUCAAGACAGGGCAGUGAAGAGGAGGACAUGAAGCAAAAAGAUUUAAGACUUAAUGAGACCAAUAAAAAAAAAAACCAACAGGCUCCAUACCACUGAAAAGCAAUAUUUACUACUUCACUUUCAGAUUUGUACUGAGUUAAUGCCUGUGUUGAUCUGUAACCUCGUCCAGCUGGAAACAAUGGGAAAAAAAAAUCAGCAACAAAUACAAGAUCUGAAAGAAAAAAAAGGCAAGAUUUGAAAGAGAGCCUACAUUUAUAACAGUCAAGGCAG
ensembl:lncRNA